rnacentral:rRNA from 1 species
UACGUAGGGUGCGAGCGUUAAUCGGAAUUACUGGGCGUAAAGCGUGCGCAGGCGGUUUUGUAAGACAGAUGUGAAAUCCCCGGGCUUAACCUGGGAAUUGCAUUUGUGACUGCCCGGCUAGAGUUUGGCAGAGGGGGGUAGAAUUCCACGUGUAGCAGUGAAAUGCGUAGAUAUGUGGAGGAAUACCGAUGGCGAAGGCAGCCCCCUGGGUCAAGACUGACGCUCAUGCACGAAAGCGUGGGGAGCAAACAGG